UCUGUGAUUCCGGAGAAGGAGCUUGAGAAUUGGCUACUACAUCUAAGGAAGGCAGCAGGCGCGCAAAUUACCCAGUCCCGAUUCGGGGAGGUAGUGACAAAAAAUAACAAUACCGGGCCUUUUUGGGCUUGGUAAUUGGGAUGAGGGAGAGUUAAACGGACCAUCGAGUAUCCAUUGGAGGGCAAGUCUGGUGCCAGCAGCUGCGGUAAUACCAGCUCCAAUAGCGUAUAUUAAAGUUGUUGCGGUUAAAAAGCUCGUAGUUGGACUUGUGUGCGCUGUCCGCGGGUGGCCUGCGCCCAAAAGGGCGUUUCGGUUCGGCCCCGGUGGCGCCUUGAAAUCUGCAGCUGGGGGGACGUUGGCCUUAACUGGUCGGCGACCGCACGCCGGCUGCUCGGUUACUGUGAGAAAAUUAGAGUGUUCAAGGCAGGCAUUGGGUGCAAUUGAAUACAUUAGCAUGGAAUAAUAAAAUAUGGCUCCUGCCGUAUUUUGUUGGUUUUGACUGGUGGGAGUAAUGAUUGAUAGGGACGGUUGGGGGUGCUAGUAUUGAGCGGCCAGAGGUGAAAUUCAUGGAUUCGCUCAAGACUAACUUAUGCGAAAGCAUUCACCAAGGACGUCCUCUUUAAUCAAGAACGAAAGUUGGGGGAUCGAAGACGAUCAGAUACCGUCGUAGUCUCAACCAUAAACUAUGUCGACUUGGGAUCGGCGGUAGUUUUUUCAUUAAGACACUGUCGGGACCACGGGAGAAAUCAAAGUGUCUGGACUCUGGGGGAAGUAUGGUCGCAAGGCUGAAACUUGAAGGAAUUGACGGAAGGGCACCACCAGGAGUGGAGCCUGCGGCUUAAUUUGACUCAACACGGGGAAACUUACCAGGUCCAGAGAUGUAGAGGAUUGACAGAUUGAAGCUCUUUCUUGAUCACUUCGGUGGUGGUGCAUGGCCGUUCUUAGUUGGUGGAGUGAUUUGUCUGGUUAAUUCCGUUAACGAACGAGACCUCAGCCUGCUAGUGUAGUCGGCUGGAUUGCCUUUGGCGAUCCGUGAUUUCGACUUCUUAGAGGGACAAUCGACGCGCAGUCGAUGGAAGUUUGAGGCAAUAACAGGUCUGUGAUGCCCUUAGAUGUUCUGGGCCGCACGCGCGCUACACUGCUGGGCUCAGCGAGUUUUACUUGGCCGAGAGGCCCGGUUAAUCUUGUGAAAUCCCAGCGUGCUUGGGCUCGCCUCCUGCAACUGGAGGCGCCAACGAGGAAUUCCUAGUAGACGCAGGUCAUCAACCUGCAUCGAUUACGUCCCUGCCCUUUGUACACACCGCCCGUCGUUCCAUAAGAGUGAGGCAUCCGGUGAAUUCUCGGGAGAGCCUGGGCGUGGCCAGCAAUGGUCUGCUCGGGUUUGAACUUGCAUAAACUUGGUGCCUAUGAUUAGGGAAAAGUCGUAACAAGGUU
rnacentral:rRNA from 1 species